AACACUGUUGAAGGCGACGAUGAUGCGUGAGCUUGCCCCAUGCGAUGAAACUGUUACCUACAAUCGUAAUGUAAUGUGCUGGUAUUCUCGAAUGCCAUAGCCCAUAGUCAGCCAUGGCUUGGAAUAACGUAGUGGCUGACUGAUAUGCCAGUAGGCACCUUAUCUAGUACUUACAGAACUAAAAAAAGUUUGUACUAUACAUAUAUGGACAACCUUUUUUUUUUGAACGAAAACGGCAGGAGCUCUGCCCAUCAUUUAAGGGGAAAGAGUUUAGAGAGUACAAACAACGGUCUGAGACCGGACAAACCACACCCGAGCACACUCAAAGGGAGGCUAAGCCCCACACCCUAAAUCCUCCAGGCUAGCAGGAAGCAGCAAUAUGAAAAUUACAUGGGAAGCAAAGCCCGCCUAAAUUGUGAAACAUCUUCUUUAAUUCUUAAGGCGACUUGGACCGGGGGAAGGGCGACACUUUCGAAAAUCCUGCGAUUCCUCUCCUUCCAGAUGUUCCACAUUGUGUAAAUCACGAUUCCAUUGAAAGCGCGUUUCUGAUUUUUUGGUAGUGGGGGAGUCGCAGCUUCCCACCACUCCUGAAUGUUGGUGGCGGAAGCAAGGUCAGACUGGGCAGGGAGGAUUACACCUUCCCAAGCCAGGAUUUGUCUCCACACCGCACGGGCGAAAGGACAAUGUAGGCACAGGUGAAUACCAGUCUCAAGGGUUCCGUUGCAAAAGGCACAAGACGAUUGAUGAGGCCACCCACGGGUGGCGAGAUUGUUGGCCGUGAGUAGUUUUUCCUGCAGGAGAAUCCAAGCAAAAAUUUUGCAUUUUGGUUCUGCGCGUGCCUUCCAGACAAGGUUAGCAUUAAGGUGACUGUACGAGCCAAUGAAUUGUGCUCUGUAGGCCGAUUUAACUGAGAAGAUGCCAUCAGGAGACCGAUUCCAGGCAAUGGUAUCCGGUGAGUCAGGUUGCAGCUGGAAAUCCCAGAGUCUAGUCCAAAGAGAGACAAACUCCUCAAUCUGAACACUGGAAGUGAUCCUACUUCUUAGUGUUUUGAUCCAAUGUUGUCCGCUGAGUUCGUGGGCAACCGAAUUGUUCUUUCUCGGGAUUAGGUCGAAGAGGUGCGGGGCUAUAUUCCUUGGAGCCAUGCCAUCGAGCCAACUAUCGUGCCAGAACUUGGCCGUCUUACCAUCCCCAAUUGUGACAGUAGUGGAGGCGCUAAAGAGCAAUCUGUCAACCCGGUUACAAGGCACAUCGAAACCUUUCCAAGGGUGAUCGUCUCUCGUCCAUUCCUUCCAAAGCCAGCGAAGGCGAAGGGCGCGUCCGAACUUGUCAAGGUUGAGAACCCCCAAGCCACCGAGGGCUUUGGGCUUGCAAACUAGUGGCCAUGCGACGAGGCAGUGACCACCAUUUGACUCGGCCUUCCCUUUCCAAAGAAAGGAGCGCCGGAUCCUGUCAAUGCGUUUGCGUGCCCAAGCCGCGAGGGGAAAAACCGAUAAGUGGUAGGUGGGCAUGGAGGACAGAACAGAAGACACGAGCGUGAGACGGCCAGCUCGGCUUAGAAGAUUUCCUUUCCAUCCUGCCAGACGGUUGCCAAUUUUUUCAAUGAGUGGUUGGAUGUGGAUUUUCCGAAGUGGUCGGGUAUGGAGUUGGAGACCUAGGUAACGACAGGGGAAAUUCCCCCGAGUCCCGUGGAAAGGCUGGAGCACAUGAUCAAGGUCGAUGUCUUCACACCGAAUCGGGUGGAUGGAGCUCUUUUCAAGGUUAGUAACCAAGCCCGAGGCGCAUCCAAAGGCGUGUAGGAUGUCUUUGACCGCCAUAAUUUCAUCCCUAGAGGGGUUGAUGAAGAUAGCAGCAUCAUCAGCAUAAAGAGACGUCCUAAGAUUGGCUAUGUUCAGCGGAAGGGGGGAGAGGAUUCCUUGUCGGGUUGCCAGCUCAAAGAUGCGCUGCACCGGGUCAAUGGCGAGAAUGAACAACAUAGGGGAGAGGGGGUCUCCCUGCCUCACCCCUCUCCUGUGCAGAAUACCUGGCCCUUGGGUGCCAUUGAGCAGGGCCCUAGAAGAGGCCGUACCGAACAGGAUGGAGAUCCACUCACGCCAGCGUGGCCCAAAUCCCAUGGCCUGUAGGACUUCAAGGAGAUAUCCCCAGUUCACAGAGUCGAAGGCCUUCUGGAUGUCGAGCUUCAGGAAGAGCGCCGACUUUUUUUGCUUAUGUAGCCUCCUGACCACGUUUUGAACAUACAAGAAGUUGUCUUGAAUGCACCUUUUCCUAAUGAAUGCAGACUGGGAUUUGGAGACUAAGUUGUUCAGGAAGGGGGCCAGCCGAUUAGCAAGUAAUUUGGAGAAGAUUUUUGCUAUGCUAUGGAUCAAGCUAAUAGGGCGGUAGUCUCCCACUGACUUAGCAUCUGGCUUCUUUGGAAUGAGCACGAUAUUCGCAGAGUUCAGGUACUUGAAUUCAGCUCCAUCCAUGGCAUGGAGUUGGUGAAAGGCCUCCAACACAUCCACAUUGAUGAUGUCCCAGCACUCCUUGAAAAAAAUUCCUGUAAAACCGUCUGGUCCCGGGGCCUUAUCGCCUGGCAUGGAGAAGAUGGUUUCCUUCACCUCAUCCAGUGAGAACGGCGCUUCCAAGGCCGAGAGAUCGUGUCGCGGUAAGGCCAGUGCCAACCAGUUGAGGGUGAGCUCUCUGGGUGGGGUUGUCCCCAGAUGUGACUUGAAAUGGUCAUAAAUAGUUUUUUCUUUGUCAUUAUGGGCCACUGCCAGAUUCCCAAUGGUGGGCUGCAGGUAUUGGAUAUAGUUCUUCCUCGCUCUGGAGCUAGCAGUGAGAUGAAAGAAUUUAGUGUUUGCAUCACCUAAUCGAAUGCGGGUAAGUCGGGCCCGUUGGCGAAUCCUCGAUUUCUCAAUCACCGCCAGUCCAAGGGAGCGGGCCUUGAGCACCUUCAGGAAGUUCGAUUCUUCCAACGUGAGCAAUCUAUCUUCUUGGGCAGUUUCCAACCUGAGGAUUAACUCUUUAGUAAUUGCAAGCUGUAGUUUCGUGUCUCCAACCUUGGUUUUGCGCCAUGCCUUGAUGCCUUUUGCAGUGCGUGCUAGCUUGAUAUGGAGGCGUUUUAGUGGCGCACAGGAGGAGCAUACAGGUUUGGACCAUGCAUCUUGGACGGCCACUUUAAAUCCCUCCAUCUUUACCCAAAAGUUUUCGAAACGGAAAGAGGGGCUACAUGUUCUCGUCAGCUCUCCCUGUAGGAGAAGCGGAGUGUGGUCAGACAUGAGGGACGGGAGGGAGUGCAGGUAGCAAUUGGGGAAGAGCAUCUCCCAUUCAGAAGUGCAGAAGAUUCUGUCAAUCCUUGUUAGAGUUGGGCUAGCAUGGCCAUUGCUCCAAGUGUAACGACGGCCAUUGAGGCGGAUUUCUUUGAGCAACAGGCUGUCCAAAGCUGAUUUGAACGCCCCCAUGAGAUGUCGGUUUAAGUUUGUAUUGUUUUUAUCUGAAGUCUGAUAGAUGAGGUUGAAAUCCCCAAGCACAAGCCAUUUCUCCCAUCUCUGUGACGCUAGGUUUUUGAGCUCCUGGAGGAAAUUGUGCUUCUCCGCAACAGACUGCGGGCCAUAGACCCCUGUAAUCCACCAAACUGAGUUAUCGGCCUUCAUAGUGAUCGAGGCUGAGAUAGUGUGAGAUGUGGUGUAGACUUGUGAGAGGGAGAAAAAAUCAUCAGAGGCUGCUAACAGAAUCCCUCCCCUGGUGUUAUUCGCGGGCAGGAUUGCAACAUUAUUGAGAAAUUUUGGUCCCAAGGUGCGUAAGAUGGCUGCAUUAUCAAGUGCAGCUAGCUUAGUCUCUUGUAUGCAAAUGAUGGUGCUUCCGGUGUCCUGGAUCAGUUCCUGAACCGAGUCACGUCUAGCCAUUUCAUUAAGGCCCCUCACGUUCCAACUAAGAAUUUUACAAUUUUGUUGAGACAUUGGUAGGCAGUAACACCCUGUUGGAGGUCAAACAGAUGUCGGCGGCAGGAUCAAGAUCCCUGCACUGUCUGCCCCUGCGGAAUAAUUCCACAGAGGGGUAGCAGUGCCUGAAGAGCCACGGUCGUCAGCGGACCCUUGAAGAGGUUGAUGUAGUGCUCCAGUGCAGCUUCACCAUUAGCAGCAGCUGUUGGCUGGCCAAUGCUAGGCAAGAUCCCCAGCCGCUUCAUGAGGACUUGGCGAGCGCGCUCUUGUAUGUUGCCGCGUGGCCAAACAACCGCCGCGAGCCGCUUGCUCCUGCGGACCGGCCUGACCCCAUGCCUUCCCCUCUUCUUCGGGUUUGACGGGGCUUGCUGGUGUUGGUGGAGCAGGGGUUGGGCUGCUGGGCGGGUGAAGUUGUUGAUGAAGGACGCCGAAAGAGAAGGGGGUAUCCCUUCCGGCUCAAGCCCAGCAGCAGCGUCCACAAGGCCUGGCGCCUCUUCCAGCCCCGACCCAUUAGGCGCGUCGUCCAUAGAGUCAGCUUCAGUGCUGGGGGCAGUCUGAAUUGUCUCCGGCGUCGAGGCCUCUGUAGGUGUCUCGUUUAGUGUGGCCGGCGAUGGCGGGCACUGUUCCGGUACUGGCAUGGUAGGAUAAGCGCGUCUGCGGUAGACACGACCAGGCAAGUAGCGACGUGCACCAUGCGAAGACAGCAGCCCUAGGCUCUUGCACAGGUGCGGCGGUGAAGAACGGUUCUGUCCAGCCAGCGGAGAUCCCUCAGCACCCCCUUCUCCCGUGGUCCGAAGCAGAGGCGACUGAGGGGAAGGUUUGCGGUCCUUCUCGAAGCAGGGAGCAGAGGCCUGAUUGCAGCGUCUGCGGAUCCCCGUGGGGAUCACUGGGAGCUGGCGAAGCGAGCGGGGGGAGGAGCGAUGGCGGUGCUCUUGGUGGCGAUGUGUAUGUCGUUCUCGGCUAUGGCCCCGCACGUGCCUCUUCUCCAAAGGCUGGGGCGCAGAACCGAGUCCAAGGUGGUGGUGUCGUCCUCCAUUCCUGGAUCCUAUGUCGCGGUGUUGCUCGCGCCGCGAAACAGAACGGUCCGGGCCUCGCGACGCACGGGAGAGGCUGCGAAAGAGACGAGAGCUCCAGCUCUCCCCAUUAUGCUGUCGACGCCCACGCCGUUCAUCUCCUUCGUCUUCAUCAUCUCUGUCCCGAUUUCGACGGUCGUUGCGGAGGUCUGCCGGGGGCGGAUCGUGUCGGUCACGUCGCACGCGCUCCCCGUCGACGACACCAUGGCGCCAGGUGAGGGAGCGAGUGGUAGGAAGCGCAUCGCGGCCCGGCGGCCCCUCCACCAAGUCGAGGUGGACAAGCACCCGGAAAGUGAGGCCACAUUGGCCCACUGGAGGGGGCACACCUUCAUGGAUCACCAUCACAGAGCCAGUAAUUGUAAGCCAGAUGACCUUCGGGAUGUCAGACGGAUUUUCUGUCCACGCCCAAAGGUUGAGGCAGCGGGCGUCCUUCAUGGUGGAGGAGAGGCAGUCGUCUUCGACGUAGUCCAAGACGCAGGCACGGGCCACGACACGCUUGGCGAUGCUUUCAUUCCACGCAUGAGGAGGGAUGCCCUCGAGGCACAGCCUCACGUGGAAGCUGAGGUCGUGACGUUCUCCAAGGGUGAUCAGCUGCCACGGCCUGAUGCGGAAGUCAAGGUUGCCAAGCGGGAAGUCCCUAGCAGCGACGGCCGCAUCCCGGUGGUGCCGGUGCGCGAAGAUCACGAGGAAGUCCGCAGGUGGGCUUCGGGAUACCGUGAUGUCCACCGGCCGCACCCCAAAGCGGGAGCAGAAGGCCCGCUCCACCCUGUCGAGGCUGAUGUCGGGGCGGUCGCAGCUGAGCCAAACCACCACUGCAUGGGAGCUCAGCCGUUCGAGCUCACUCUCCAUGACGCGGGUGGCAGAAGUGGUGGUCCAGGAAUGAUCCGGGCGCAAUGCUGGGUCACCUGGAAGGGCCAUGGACGGAGCGGCGAGCGGCGGGAAGUUGUGGAAGUCGAGGCAGGGAGGUUGACGUUGGGGGAUAGUAGUCGGCCUGCUAACAAUCCACGAGCACUGCCAAGACCUGUGCCCGGAGCGCUUGCAUUUGAUGCACUUGACCGGAUCCCUGCAAUUAAUGGCCAAGUGAUCCCUACUCAAGCAGCGAGCGCAUUUACCUCGUAGGCUUACCAUCAGACGGCUAGGGGCAUGGGCUGAGAGAAGGCGAGGCGCCGCUGGGGCGCAGCCUAGGCCUGCGCGGGCGGCGCGUCCACGCCUGCGCCGAAUCGUCGUCCAUCCUUCAAGAUCCUCAUCUUCAAUGCGGUCGCAGCUUCCAGACGGGGGCUUCGAACCAGCUGUCGGGGCGGGGGUGGCACUGUGGCUGCGGGAUACGGCGGAGGGGUAGUGAAUGCGGGGCGGCGUGGUGCUUGCAGUGAAUGCAAACCUCACCCGCUUGGUUUGGUAGGGGGCCGCCGGCGCACGGCAUGCAGUUGGAUCAGAAGGGCGGGCCGGCGGUAGAUGUGAGGGCGGUGGCGGUGGGAGCUGGGACACAGGAGGGCGAGCUGGUGGUGCUGGAGGGGGGGGCGGGGUUGGAUCUGACUUGGUGCAGCCGGCAGGAGCCGGGGACGGCCGGAGGCGGGCGGAUCUGGCGGUGGCGCUGCUUUGGAGCUCGGUCGCCGUAGGGGCGAGCGCGGGGGAGGAAGGGCCCAUCCUCACUCCGUCCGCAAUGGUCUGAGUUGGCGAUAUGGACAACCUUAUAAGUGGCUAUGUGUGUACCUAUCCUAACGCUUAUCCCAGAUGGUGUAUCAGCGUUUUUCUGUGAGAUUGUUUUCAAGCAAGGGGUUGUUCAUUCAUUGGGUCUUCUCAGGAAAAAGAGAAUUAUGCUGCAGUUAACCAGAUGGCCGCUG
rnacentral:lncRNA from 1 species